GGGGAAUUUUCCGCAAUGGGCGCAAGCCUGACGGAGCAAUACCGCGUGAGGGAAGAAGGCUUUUGGGUUGUAAACCUCUUUUCUCAGGGAAGAAGCAAUGACGGUACCUGAGGAAUCAGCAUCGGCUAACUCCGUGCCAGCAGCCGCGGUAAUACGGAGGAUGCAAGCGUUAUCCGGAAUUAUUGGGCGUAAAGCGUCCGCAGGUGGUACAUCAAGUCUGCUGUCAAAGACUAGGGCUUAACCCUGGAAAGGCAGUGGAAACUGAUGAACUAGAGUACGGUAGGGGUAGAGGGAAUUCCCAGUGUAGCGGUGAAAUGCGUAGAGAUUGGGAAGAACACCAGUGGCGAAGGCGCUCUACUGGACAUGUACUGACACUCAGGGACGAAAGCUAGGGGAGCGAAAGGGAUUAGAUACCCCUGUAGUC
rnacentral:rRNA from 1 species